ensembl:misc_RNA Y_RNA Y RNA
GACCGGUCUGAACGUAGUGGGUUAUCUCGAUUGAUUGUUCAUAGUUAGUUACAGAUCAAACUCCUUGUUCUAUAAUUUCCCCCCUUCUCACUGAUGUACUUGACUAGUCUUAA